rnacentral:rRNA from 1 species
GACGUAGGGCGCGAGCGUUGUCCGGAUUUAUUGGGCGUAAAGAGCUCGUAGGCGGUUUGUCGCGUCUGCCGUGAAAGUCCGGGGCUCAACUCCGGAUCUGCGGUGGGUACGGGCAGACUAGAGUGAUGUAGGGGAGACUGGAAUUCCUGGUGUAGCGGUGAAAUGCGCAGAUAUCAGGAGGAACACCGAUGGCGAAGGCAGGGCUCUGGGCAGUAACUGACGCUGAGGAGCGAAAGCAUGGGGAGCGAACAGG